ensembl:lncRNA
GGCAAUUAGUGCAAGCGAGCAGCGACUGGAGAGCAUGCACAGAAGCUGACAGAGGGGAAACUUCUGCUUUAAGAUGGAGCAGCUUGGGGGAAAUGGGUUUACAUGAGUUCAAGGGGAGAAGUUCAUCAAAGAGAAAUCCACAGAGAUUAAGAACAUAGUGACUGCAGUAUUUGCAAGAAGUUGCUGAGCAAAAAUUGUUGGAAGAGGACACAAGUGGAAAGCAUCGCAUACUUCUGCUGAAUUUUAUUCCUCCUUGAGUACCUAUUCUGGCUGCUGAUGGAGACAAGAUACUGAAUUAUGAACUUUCAGCCUGCCUUGUGGGUACAUCUUUCCAUGGGAUUCUGCUCUCAGUGAUAGUGUCUGAAGCUUACAUGGCAUGCCCUUUUGCUAAAUGUAAGUUGUUUUCCCAGUCACUUGAAAAGCCUGGUGCUCAAAUUAAUGCUCACUCACCCUAGAUUCGUUCCCCUGGCCCUAAAUGCCCAGAGGUUGCUCUUUUCCAAGAGUGGAAAGCUCCAUUCUUGAUGCUUUACAGUCCAUUUUCUAAUCAGUCAGUGUGAUGCAGUAGCUGCCUUUGGGGAUUUAAAAUGUAAGUUAUUUCUACUGUUAUUUUAUGGCAUGACUUGGCAUGAGGUGGCAUAACCAUUUGGCUUGGAUAAGGGACCAGUGACUUGGAUGGGCUGACAGACUAUAGUCAGAGCCUAAUGACUGCCUGCAUGCUGCUAGGAGGAACCCCCUGGGGUGGUAGGGGACUGCUGCCAGCUCUGCUCUGAAUUAACAUCUUCGCUAAGGAGCAGGCAGGCAGAAGGGCGAAUAACGCUGAAAAACCAUGCCUUCAAGCUGCUGAGAAAUCAGCCCUUGGAAAAUUGCUUGGGUAGGUUGUUUGGGUUGAUCAGACAGAUAAAUAAUCAGCAACCCACGCUGUGCCCCAGUGAGCCUUCGCAUUCGAGAUGGAUGCAAACACGAGAAGUCGUUAGCAGGGAAAUUGCGGUAGUUGAAACUGAACUGAAAUUGUUUGCACACAGAAGUGAUCUUUAGGCAUAUGAUAUUUAUAAUGGGAGCUGCUAGCUGCGUUUUCUGACUUCCUAGGAGAAAUGAUGAGCGUAGGUAGAAAUAUCACUGCCCUGCGUAUUCUCCAGCUGCUAAAGAAAGGUUGCAGAAUAAAAUGAGGUCUCCUACAAUAGUAAAGAAAUGAGAGGGAUUUUUGAGAGCUGUUCUGUGUGGUGGAAGAACACCUCAGAAAAAAUCCCAAGUGAAACAGGAGCAAGAGAUUAGCACAAGAUAAAUUCUAAACUUGAGGCUUCUGGUUUGCUUGCUCUUUUACAACUGCAUUUCCAACCUUGUAGUAAAAAAAAAAAAUGUAAUGCUUUGUUCAAUUAGAAUAAUGCUGUUUUUCUUCUUUAACCUUGACUGGUUUUGUGAAGGAAUUUGGAUAACUCUGGAAAGCACCAACGUCAUCC